rnacentral:rRNA from 1 species
GACGAACGCUGGCGGCGUGCUUAACACAUGCAAGUCGAGCGGUAAGGCCCUUUCGGGGGUACACGAGCGGCGAACGGGUGAGUAACACGCGGGUGACCUGCCCUCAGCUCUGGGAUAAGCCUGGGAAACCGGGUCUAAUACCGGAUAUGACUCCAUGACGCAUGUUGUGGGGUGGAAAGCCUUGUGCGGCUGAGGAUGGGCCCGCGGCCUAUCAGCUUGUUGGUGGGGNGAUGGCCUACCAAGGCGACGACGGGUAGCCGGCCUGAGAGGGCGACCGGCACACUGGGACUGAGACACGGCCCACGACUCCUACGGGAGGGCAGCAGUGGGGAAUCUUGCGCAAUGGGCGAAAGCCUGACGCAGCGACGCCGCGUGA